rnacentral:tmRNA from 1 species
GGGGGUGACAGGUCUCGACAUGAUCGAGUAGCUUGCGGAGCAGCAUGCAGUGGAUAACAGUUGGCCACUAUAAUAAUCUGUUAAAAAAAAUAAAUGCAGACUACAAUCCAGUAGCUGACGCUGAAGCCAUUUUGGCUGAAGCAACACUAGCUCCUCAAUACGCAGGAGCGGGUAUGUUUAGCGGCGCCCUUGCCGUUUAACAGCACCUUAAACUAAUAAGGGACUGUAAUAGGUUUUGUCCUCGGGCCUAAUACAACAUUUUGAGGACUGCUCUUCCGAAAGUACUGUCUGUAGUUCUUCGGAAGAAAAGAAAAAAAUCAGACUAAGCAUGUAGAUACUCUCAGGAAACAGCUCAUGGACCCGGGUUCGAUUCCCGGCACCUCCACCA